CACGGGCUGGCCGGCUGUGGCUGGCGACGUCUCCCCGGGGGCCCUAUUUAUAGGCGCGCGCGGCGGCGGCGGCGGGGGACUGGCCCGGCCCCGCCCACAGCAUCGCAGGCCAGGCAGAGGCAGGCAGAUCCAUCCCCCGGAAAGCGGAAAUCCUGUGCGGCGCAAAAGGGGAGGAGGAACGAACCUCUCCAUCCAUCGUCUCCGGGCGAUCUCGAGCAACUUGGGCCAGGCAAUUGUUACCCGAAAAGCAGGGAGAAAACGAAGUGCACGGUGUGCUUGCUUGCUAGAUCUUUUCGAUCGAGCUCGCUCGCUCUGACUGAUCAGCUAGUAGCUAGCUAUAGCGGCGCACUCUUCACUCUUGGAACCUGCUGGCUCCAAUCUCUGUCUCGUCGGUUGCGGACACUGUUUAGUGGAGCAUGGCGGAUGCGCGGAUCGAGCAGCAUCCAAGCAAGAGGGGGUGUCGGGAUCGCGCGCCUUUGAGUCUGUGACCGCAGCAAGCGCCUCACGGGAUGCGCAUCGGCGGCGGGGGUGUCUUGCCAUGACAGAGCUUCAUCGCCUAACCUCAUCUCCCGCUGGGCGAUGAGUAGGCGCGCCCCUUUUCCCUGCCCCGUUCCUUUUCUUUUCCUUUUCUGACCAGCACCCUUGUCGUCCUCGCUCCCUGGCCGAGACGAAGCUUUCGCCGGGGCCAGGGUGACGGCUGACCUGGUACCCGAACGGAGCAGGCAGGAGGAGCUGGCAUGGGUGUCAGAACAAGUGACCCCGAUCAACUUGGUAACUACUGUAGCAGGUGAUCGAUGGUUCAUUUCUUUCCUGGCCGCGGUGCGUCCCAUCGCGCAUGAUGAGCGCUUGUUUUACGCAGAUCACGCCGUCCCGCAAGGAGCAGCAGGGAAAGCAGUAAAGCACACACUGACACACAUCUACAGACUCAAGCAACAUCCGUCCUUCGGAAUCACAUGGCAAUAAGAGGCAUGACAAAUGAGAAAAACACGAGGAAUACGCUUGUACAUGCAUGGACGAGCAACGAUAUCGUCAUACACCAUCGAUAUCACAGCUGCUAAGCUUGUACGACGGCAUCAUUGCGCAUCUCCAACAGAUUAAUCAUCUCUCUCUUCAAUAAAUUUUUUUAAUAUUUUGGUGAUAAAGGUGCUUCAGCAGAUUAUCAAUUCAAUCCCUAUUACUUAUAA